UCAGUUGUGAUGAAAUUGGUAUACAUGUUAGAUUUAGGAUCUAAUGCUACGUUAGCGUGAACGUUCAAGUCGUUCCAACUGAA
rfam:Chrysochromulina sp. CCMP291 CAF.Contig9355, whole genome shotgun sequence.